rnacentral:rRNA from 1 species
UACAGAGGUCCCAAGCGUUGUUCGGAUUCACUGGGCGUAAAGGGUGCGUAGGCGGUUAGGUAAGUCUGACGUGAAAUCUCCGGGCCUAACCCGGAAACUGCGUUGGAUACUAUCUGACUCGAGGAAUGGAGGGGAGACUGGAAUACUUGGUGUAGCAGUGAAAUGCGUAGAUAUCAAGUGGAACACCAGUGGCGAAGGCGAGUCUCUGGACAUUUCCUGACGCUGAGGCACGAAAGCCAGGGGAGCAAACGGG